GUGUCUAUUGCAAUUCGCGCACAAGGUCGCGUGGUAUCGACGCGCCGGCUUUGCGCAUCUCUUGCUUUCUUAUCGUAAACUAUCGCGUCGUAGCUUGCUCGGCUACGGCAUGCACUAUCCGCGGGUUGCGCCCAGUUGCGUGCCGGUCACUGGGUGGUUGAGACGUAUUUCUCGCGUCGCGUAUCGUUUGUUCGGACCUCUGUUUUCUAAAUUUACAUUAUAUUUAAUUAGCAAACCACUAUUUAAUUAUAGCUACUAAAGUUAUGUUAUUUAAUAUGUGCGUGUUUAUUGUCCAUAAAUACCGGUUAAGUAAGUGUAUUAGCAACUCACAAGGUGUAGAGUUGCUAAGUGAAUCGGAUACAUGUCGCCCCCGUGUUGAUUUAUUCAGCAUUAGAACCCAUCGUGGAGUAUAUAAGUAAACAGCACAGAUUGUUUGUUUAGUUCGACGUUGCCUUGCAAUCCGAUUAGCUUCUACAUUGAGCAAGAGCCCGUGACGGCCAGACGACUAGUCAUUUUAGAAAAGAUGAAAUUUUGCCUAUGUGUGUCUCCAACGCAGGAUUUUACACCUGAGUCUGACAUCGUAGAAGGACCAUUCUUACAUGAGUUUGGAUUUUGCACCUGAGUCUGACAUCGCAGAAAGACCAUUCUGGUAUCAGAUUGAUUUUGCACCUGAGUCUGACAUCGCAGAAAGACUAUUCUUGCAUCAAAUUGGAUUUUGCACUUGAGUCUGACUUCGAAGGAGGACCAUUUUUGCAUCAGAUUGGAGUUUGCAUCUGAGUCUGACAUCGUAGAAGGACCAUUUUAGCAUCAGAUUGGAUUUUGCACCUGAGUCUGACAUCG